rnacentral:rRNA from 1 species
UACAGAGGUCUCAAGCGUUGUUCGGAUUCAUUGGGCGUAAAGGGUGCGUAGGCGGCGCGGUAAGUCGGGUGUGAAAUCUUGGAGCUUAACUCCGAAACUGCAUUCGAUACUGCCGUGCUUGAGGACUGGAGAGGAGACUGGAAUUUACGGUGUAGCGGUGAAAUACGUAGAUAUCGUAAGGAAGACCAGUGGCGAAGGCGGGUCUCUGGACAGUUCCUGACACUGAGACACGAAGGCCAGGGGAGCAAACGGG